rnacentral:rRNA from 1 species
UACAGAGGGUGCAAGCGUUGUUCGGAAUUAUUGGGCGUAAAGCGCGUGUAGGCGGCCGUGCAAGUCGGGUGUGAAAGCCCUCGGCUCAACCGAGGAAGUGCGCCCGAAACUGCAUGGCUUGAGUACCGGAGAGGAUGGCGGAAUUCCCCAAGUAGAGGUGAAAUGCGCAGAUAUCGGGAAGAACACCUAUGGCGAAGGCAGCUCUCUGGGACGGUACUGACGCUGAGACGCGAAAGCGUGGGGAGCGAACAGG